rnacentral:SRP_RNA from 1 species
GCCGGGUACGGUGGUGCCUACCUGUAGUCCCAGCUACUUGGGAGGCUGAAGCUGGGGGAUCGCUUGAGUCCGGGAGUACUGGGCUGUAUUGCGCUAUGCCAAUCGGGUGUCCACACUAAGUUCGGCAUCAAUAUGCUGACCUCCCCAGAGCAGGGGACCACCAGGUUGCCUAGGGAGGGGUGAACCGGCCCAGAUUGGAAAUGGAGCAGGUCAAAACUCCAUGCUGAUCAGUAGUGGGAUCGCGCCUGUGAAUAGCCACUGCACUCCAGCCUGGGCAACAUAGUGAGACCCCGUCUCU